rnacentral:rRNA from 1 species
GUGGGGAAUAUUGGACAAUGGGCGAAAGCCUGAUCCAGCCAUGCCGCGUGUGUGAAGAAGGUCUUCGGAUUGUAAAGCACUUUAAGUUGGGAGGAAGGGCAGUAAGUUAAUACCUUGCUGUUUUGACGUUACCGACAGAAUAAGCACCGGCUAACUUCGUGCCAGCAGCCGCGGUAAUACGAAGGGUGCAAGCGUUAAUCGGCAUUACUGGGCGUAAAGCGCGCGUAGGUGGUUUUGUAAGUUGGAGGUGAAAUCCCCGGGCUCAACCUGGGAACUGCCUCCAAAACUGCAUGACUAGAGUACGGUAGAGGGUAGUGGAAUUUCCUGUGUAGCGGUGAAAUGCGUAGAUAUAGGAAGGAACACCAGUGGCGAAGGCGACUACCUGGACUGAUACUGACACUGAGGUGCGAAAGCGUGGGGAGCAAACAGGAUUAGAAACCCCUGUAGUCC